rnacentral:rRNA from 1 species
GAUGAACGCUAGCGGGAGGCUUAACACAUGCAAGUCGAGGGGCAUCACGAGGUAGCAAUACUUUGGUGGCGACCGGCGCACGGGUGAGUAACACGUAUGCAACCUACCCUGUACAGGGGGAUAACCCGGAGAAAUUCGGACUAAUAUUCCAUAAUGAUAUUUUAGGGCAUCCUUUAAUAUUUAAAGCUUUGGCGGUACAGGAUGGGCAUGCGCAACAUUAGCUAGUUGGGAGGGUAACGGCCUACCAAGGCUAUGAUGUUUAGGGGACCUGAGAGGGUGAUCCCCCACACUGGUACUGAGACACGGACCAGACUCCUACGGGAGGCAGCAGUGAGGAAUAUUGGUCAAUGGGCGGAAGCCUGAACCCAGCCAUCCCGCGUGCAGGAAGACGGCCCUAUGGGUUGUAAACUGCUUUUCCAGGGAGAGAAACUUACGCACGUGUUGCGUGACUGACGGUACCCUGGGAAUAAGCAUCGGCUACUACCCGUCGUCCACGCACGCCGGCGGUAACGU